rnacentral:rRNA from 1 species
CCUACGGGAGGCAGCAGUGGGGAAUAUUGCACAAUGGGGGAAACCCUGAUGCAGCGACGCCGCGUGAGUGAAGAAGUAAUUCGUUAUGUAAAGCUCUAUCAGCAGGGAAGAAAAUGACGGUACCUGAGUAAGAAGCCACGGCUAACUACGUGCCAGCAGCCGCGGUAAUACGUAGGGGGCAAGCGUUAUCCGGAUUUACUGGGUGUAAAGGGAGCGUAGACGGCAGUGCAAGUCUGGAGUGAAAGGCGGGGGCGCAACGCCCGGACUGCUCUGGAAACUGUACGGCUGGAGUGCAGGAGAGGUAAGUGGAAUGCCUAGUGUAGCGGUGAAAUGCGUAGAUAUUAGGAGGAACACCAGUGGCGAAGGCAGCUUACUGGACUGUAACUGACGUUGAGGCUCGAAAGCGUGGGGAGCAAACAGGAUUAGAUACCCGGGUAGUC